rnacentral:rRNA from 1 species
AGAGUUUGAUCAUGGCUCAGAAUCAACGCUGGCGGCGUGCCUAACACAUGCAAGUCGAACGAGAAAUCUGGCUUCGGUCAGAGAGUAUAGUGGCGAACGGGUGAGUAACGCGUGGAUGAUCUGCCUGGUAGUGGGGGAUAACUCGGGGAAACCCGGGCUAAUACCGCAUGCGCCCGCAAGGGGAAAGGUUUCGAUCGCUAUCAGAGGAGUCCGCGUCCGAUUAGCUAGUAGGUAAGGUAACGGCUUACCUAGGCGUCGAUCGGUAGCCGGUCUGAGAGGACGGACGGCCACACUGGGACUGAGACACGGCCCAGACUCCUACGGGAGGCAGCAGUGGGGAAUUUUGGGCAAUGGGCGCAAGCCUGACCCAGCAACGCCGCGUGGAGGAUGAAAGUUUUCGGAUUGUAAACUCCUGUCCGGAGGGACGAAGACAGUGACGGUACCUCUGGAGGAAGCCCCGGCUAACUCCGUGCCAGCAGCCGCGGUAAUACGGGGGGGGGCAAGCGUUGUUCGGAUUUACUGGGCGUAAAGGGCGCGUAGGCGGCUUCGGAAGUUAUGGGUGAAAGCCCCCGGCUCAACUGGGGAAUUGCCUGUAAAACCACGGAGCUGGAGUGCUGGAGAGGGAAGUGGAAUUCCCAGUGUAGCGGUGAAAUGCGUAGAUAUUGGGAGGAACACCAGUGGCGAAGGCGGCUUCCUGGACAGACACUGACGCUGAGGCGCGAAAGCCAGGGGAGCGAACGGGAUUAGAUACCCCGGUAGUCCUGGCUGUAAACGAUGAAUACUUGGUGUGGGAGGUAUAGAAGUCCUUCUGUGCCGAAGAGAACUCGAUAAGUAUUCCGCCUGGGGAGUACGGCCGCAAGGCUGAAACUCAAAGGAAUUGACGGGGGCCCGCACAAGCGGUGGAGCAUGUGGUUUAAUUUCGACGCAACGCGAAGAACCUUACCGGGGUUUGACUGUAUUGGC